UACGUAGGGAGCAAGCGUUAUCCGGAUUCAUUGGGCGUAAAGCGCGCGUAGGCGGCUUAUUAAGUCAGGUGUCAAAUCUGAGGGCUCAACCCCCAGCCGCACCUGAAACUGGUAGGCUCGAGUUCGGUAGAGGAAAGUGGAAUUCCCAGUGUAGCGGUGGAAUGCGCAGAUAUUGGGAAGAACACCGGUGGCGAAGGCGGCUUUCUGGGCCGUAACUGACGCUGAGGCGCGAAAGCUAGGGGAGCAAACAGGAUUAGAUACCC
rnacentral:rRNA from 1 species